CACAGGUGCUGCAUGGCUGUCGUCAGCUCGUGUCGUGAGAUGUUGGGUUAAGUCCCGCAACGAGCGCAACCCUUAUCAUUAGUUGCUACGCAAGGGCACUCUAAUGAGACUGCCGGUGACAAACCGGAGGAAGGUGGGGAUGACGUCAAGUCCUCAUGGCCCUUAUGGGUAGGGCUUCACACGUCAUACAAUGGUCGGUACAGAGGGUUGCCAAGCCGCGAGGUGGAGCCAAUCCCAGAAAACCUGUCUCAGUCCGGAUUGAAGUCUGCAACUCGACUUCAUGAAGGCGGAAUCGCUAGUAACCGCGAAUCAGCAGGUCGCGGUGAAUACGUUCCCGGGCCUU
rnacentral:rRNA from 1 species